rnacentral:rRNA from 1 species
AUGGGAACGCGAAGAACCUUACCUAGACUUGACAUCUCCUGAAUAGUGUAGAGAUACAUGAAGCCCUUCGGGGCAGGAAGACAGGUGGUGCAUGGUUGUCGUCAGCUCGUGUCGUGAGAUGUUGGGUUAAGUCCCGCAACGAGCGCAACCCUUAUUACUAGUUGCUACCAUUAAGUUGAGCACUCUAGUGAGACUGCCCGGGUUAACCGGGAGGAAGGCGGGGAUGACGUCAAAUCAUCAUGCCCCUUAUGUCUAGGGCAACACACGUGCUACAAUGGUGAGUACAGAUAGAUGCGAUACCGCAAGGUGGAGCUAAACUCUAAAACUCAUCCCAGUUCGGAUUGUAGGCUGCAACUCGCCUAUAUGAAGCUGGAGUUGCUAGUAAUCGCGAAUCAGAAUGUCGCGG